GACGAACGCUGGCGGCGUGCUUAACACAUGCAAGUCGAACGAUGAACCCGGAGCUUGCUCCGGCGGAUUAGUGGCGAACGGGUGAGUAACACGUGAGUAACCUGCCCUUGACUCUGGGAUAACUGCUAGAAAUGGUAGCUAAUACCGGAUACGACCCUCGGUGGCAUCACCAGGGGGUGGAAAGAAUUUCGGUCAAGGAUGGACUCGCGGCCUAUCAGCUAGUUGGUGAGGUAACGGCUCACCAAGGUGACGACGGGUAGCCGGCCUGAGAGGGUGACCGGCCACACUGGGACUGAGACACGGCCCAGACUCCUACGGGAGGCAGCAGUGGGGAACAUUGCACAAUGGGCGCAAGCCUGAUGCAGCAACGCCGCGUGAGGGAUGACGGCCUUCGGGUUGUAAACCUCUUUUAGUAGGGAAGAAGCGAAAGUGACGGUACCUGCAGAAAAAGCACCGGCUAACUACGUGCCAGCCGCCGCGGUAA
rnacentral:rRNA from 1 species